AUUGAACGCUGGCGGCAUGCCUUACACAUGCAAGUCGAACGGCAGCACGGGAGCAAUCCUGGUGGCGAGUGGCGAACGGGUGAGUAAUAUAUCGGAACGUGCCCAGUCGUGGGGAUAACGUAGCGAAAGCUACGCUAAUACCGCAUACGAUCUAUGGAUGAAAGCGGGGGAUCGCAAGACCUCGCGCGAUUGGAGCGGCCGAUAUCAGAUUAGGUAGUUGGUGAGGUAAAGGCUCACCAAGCCGACGAUCUGUAGCUGGUCUGAGAGGACGACCAGCCACACUGGGACUGAGACACGGCCCAGACUCCUACGGGAGGCAGCAGUGGGGGAAUUUUUGGGACAAUGGGCGCAAGCCUGAUCCAGCAAUGCCGCGUGCAGGAUGAAGGCCUC
rnacentral:rRNA from 1 species